rnacentral:rRNA from 1 species
AACGAACGCUGGCGGCGUGCUUAACACAUGCAAGUCGAACGCGAAAUUUUUCUUCGGAAAGAGAGUAGAGUGGCGCACGGGUGAGUAACGCGUAAGUAAUCUACCCUGGUAUCUGGGAUAACCCACCGAAAGGUGUGCUAAUACCGGAUACGCUGAUUUAUCAGGAAAGGUGGCCUCUUCAUGAAAGCUACUGUACCAGGAGGAGCUUGCGUACCAUUAGCUAGUUGGUAGGGUAAUGGCCUACCAAGGCAACGAUGGUUAGCGGGUCUGAGAGGAUGAUCCGCCACACUGGAACUGGAACACGGACCAGACUCCUACGGGAGGCAGCAGUGAGGAAUAUUGCGCAAUGGGGGAAACCCUGACGCAGCGACGCCGCGUGGAUGAUGAAGGCCUUCGGGUCGUAAAAUCCUGUCAGGUGGAA